CACCGGCAGCUCUAGUGGUAACAAUUUUUAUUGGGCCUAAAGCGUCCGUAGCCGGUUUAAUAAGUCUCUGGUGAAAUCCUGUAGCUUAACUGUGGGAAUUGCUGGAGAUACUAUUAGACUUGAGACCGGGAGAGGUUAGAGGUACUCCCAGGGUAGAGGUGAAAUUCUGUAAUCCUGGGAGGACCGCCUGUUGCGAAGGCGUCUAACUGGAACGGUUCUGACGGUGAGGGACGAAAGUUAGGGGCGCGAACCGGAUUAGAUACCCCGGUAGUCCCUGAGCGGGCUGGCAAGG
rnacentral:rRNA from 1 species